rnacentral:lncRNA from 10 species
CUUUUUUUUUUUUUUAACUGAUCACUUAACAGUUCGUUCUGAGGAAGUUCUGGAAUUUUUAAACUAGUAUAUUCCUGCUAGACUCAAAGCUGAACCAUGCCAGAGAAAUUCCUUCCAUAUGCUGCCCAGCUGCUAUGUAUACCCCACCCUCCCAUUUCCCUCAGGGUCCUGUGGGACUUACUUUCAGUGGCAAAAAGCGUAAUUACUUUUGCACCAACCUAAUAGAUUUGGAGUGUUUUUGUCAUUUGCAGGACUGUCACUUCGAGGGAUAACCAUCAAGUUCUCCAGGUGCAGAGUGAGUGGCUGAACCCUGCUUAAAGGGAUGUAACUAUAAGGAUGUGAUGUCAGAGCCUAGUCUUGCUAGUUAAGAAUAAUUUCGGUGGCUCGCGCUUGUAAUCCCAGCACUUUGGAAGGCCAAGGUUGGGGGAUCGCUUGAGCCCAGGAGCUCGAUACCAGCCUGGGCAACAUGGUGAAACUUCAUCUCUAUUUAUAAAAGUAAAAGAUAGGGCCGGGCGCGGUGGCUCAUGCCUGUAAUCCCAGCACUUUGGGAGGCCGAGGUGGGCAGAUCACCUGAGGUCAGAAGUUCGAGACUAGCCUGACCAACAUGGAGAAACCCUGUCUCUACUAAAAAUACAAAAUUAGCUGGGUAUGAUGGUGCAUGCCUGUAAUCCCAGCUACUUGGGAGGCU